GAACGCUAGCGGCAGGCCUAAUACAUGCAAGUCGAACGCUCAGUAGCAAUACUGGGAGUGGCGCACGGGUGCGUAACGCGUACACAAUCUACCUCUAAGCGGGGGACACCUCCUGGAAACGGGGAUUAAUACCGCAUAAUAUGCCGAGGUCGCAUGACUUUGGUAUUAAAGCAGCAAUGCACUUAGAGAUGAGUGUGCGUCCCAUUAGGUAGUUGGUGAGGUAACGGCUCACCAAGCCUAUGAUGGGUAGCCGGUCUGAGAGGAUGGUCGGCCACACGGGCACUGAGACACGGGCCCGACUCCUACGGGAGGCAGCAGUAAGGAAUAUUGGUCAAUGGUGGAAACACUGAACCAGCCAUAGCCGCGUGGAGGAAUAAGGUCCUACGGAUUGUAAACUCCUUUUGACGAGGAAGAAAGUGUUAGAUUUAUCUAAUUUUGACGGUACUCGUAGAAUAAGCACCGGCUAACUCCGUG
rnacentral:rRNA from 1 species